rnacentral:rRNA from 1 species
GGAGUUAUGAAAUGUAAGUUUGAGAAUAUCGGAUUUACUUGACAAAAGCUCCAGAGGAAGCCACGGCUAACUCUGUGCCAGCAGCCGCGGUAAUACAGAGGUGGCAAGCGUUGUUCGGAAUUAUUGGGCGUAAAGAGCACGUAGGUGGAUUUGUAAGUCAGAUGUGAAAGCCUUCUGUUCAACGGAAGAAUUGCAUCUGAAACUGCAAAGCUUGAGUGUAGGAGGGGAGAGUGGAACUUCUG